AACAGGAUUAGAUACCCUGGUAGUCCACGCCGUAAACGAUGUCGACUUGGAGGUUGUUCCCUUGAGGAGUGGCUUCCGGAGCUAACGCGUUAAGUCGACCGCCUGGGGAGUACGGCCGCAAGGUUAAAACUCAAAUGAAUUGACGGGGGCCCGCACAAGCGGUGGAGCAUGUGGUUUAAUUCGAUGCAACGCGAAGAACCUUACCUACUCUUGACAUCCAGCGAACUUUCCAGAGAUGGAUUGGUGCCUUCGGGAACGCUGAGACAGGUGCUGCAUGGCUGUCGUCAGCUCGUGUUGUGAAAUGUUGGGUUAAGUCCCGCAACGAGCGCAACCCUUAUCCUUUGUUGCCAGCGAUUCGGUCGGGAACUCAAAGGAGACUGCCGGUGAUAAACCGGAGGAAGGUGGGGAUGACGUCAAGUCAUCAUGGCCCUUACGAGUAGGGCUACACACGUGCUACAAUGGCGCAUACAAAGAGAAGCGACCUCGCGAGAGCAAGCGGACCUCACAAAGUGCGUCGUAGUCCGGAUCGGAGUCUGCAACACGACUCCGUGAAGUCGGAAUCGCUAGUAAUCGUGGAUCAGAAUGCCACGGUGAAUACGUUCCCGGGCCUUGUACACACCGCCCGUCACACCAUGGGAGUGGGUUGCAAAAGAAGUAGGUAGCUUAACCUUCGGGAGGGCGCUUACCACUUUGUGAUUCAUGACUGGGGUGAAGUCGUAACAAGGUAACC
rnacentral:rRNA from 1 species